rnacentral:misc_RNA from 1 species
AAUAAAAAAAAAAAAAAAAAGCAGGAAUAUUUUAAAAAGAAGGGAAAGAAUUAGAAAGAUUCCCCCAUAGUGGGAGAACAAUGCAUCUUCCUGACAACCACGCCUUUCAUCGAACAUCAAUCAUUGUAAUGGUAACUUCAUUGAUAGAACAUGAUUCAUGUUCGGUACAGGAAGAUCCCCCCUCAAUCAAUUUUCUUUCAGUGAAGAAACCAGGAUCUUUAGGCUCCGGCAAUGCUCCCUCACCACUUAACAUCAUUACCACAGAUGACAUGGUUGGCCUGUCUUCUGGAUAGCGCUGCACGCAUAACAGACCUACAUGAAUUGAUCUUAACACUUCUGAUAGAUUGCAGGAUUCCACUACUAAUGCAUCAAUCAAAUCCAAAUAUCUGCCUUGUUUGAAGAGUAUCCAUGCCUGGAAGAUCAGAAAUCAUUUUUAAAAUUGAUAAUAGUAGCUUAAAGAUAGAGAAUCAAGAAAAAUUCUCUCAAACCUUACAUGCCCCAAAAGAUUGAGUUGGUGUUCUGGAUGACUAAAUCCCCUGUUUCUCUUCCCACUAAGUAUCUCCAACACUAGAACACCAAAGCUAAAUACAUCGGAUUUUACUGAGAACAAUCCAUCAAUGGCAUACUCUGGCGACAUGUAUCCACUGCACAAUACCAUAAAAUAAAGUAAUGCUUUUUCAACCACUAUAUCAAAAUACUAGCACACAUUUUUUUUUAUUCAAAGAAUGAAGGGAAAAAAGUACAUAAAAUGAAAGAACUCUUACUAUGUUCCGACCACUCUUUUUGUAUUUGCUUCAGUUUCAUUACCCAUGAAACUUCUAGCCAUGCCAAAGUCCGAGAUUUUUGGAUUCAUCUCAUUAUCUAGUAAAAUGUUACUUGGUUUGAGAUCUCUGUGAAUAAUUCUUAGUCUAGAGUCUUGAUGAAGAUAGAGAAGGCCCCUAGAAAUCCCACUGAUAAUGUGGAACCUCAUGGUCCAGUCCAAAGACAUCCUUUGUGUAUCAUCUGCAGAAAAUCUAUCCGCGUUAAUCCAUAUAGCUGCUGAUUAUAUUUUUUUAACUAUAAUUGAAUACAAUCUUAAAUAGAAUUCAUAACAAAAAUGUGAGUGCGAGUUCAUGUUAUCGCUUGAUAUAUUGAGUUGAAAACACAAGUGAAACAAUCUUCAGAUAAAAUCUAAGAGGCAUCGGAACCACUUGAUAAAAUUAACCUAACAAACUUCUAUAGGGAGAAAAAAUAAAUAAAUAAACAGAUCAGGAUUAAGAUAUUCGACCAGAAAUAUAUAGGUCUAGGCUUUUGUUGGGCAUGUAUUCA